CAUAUAAAGGUCGCUCAGAAGACAAGUCCUUCCUCUAUGAAGUCGUGGCCAACAGAAGAAAUGGCAUUGAUGUGGAUAAGUGGGACUACUUUGCCAGGGACUGCUACCACCUGGGCAUCCAGAACAAUUUUGACUAUCAUCGCUUCCUAAAGUUUGCCAGGGUAUGUGAGGUGGACGGGCAGAAGAACAUCUGCACUAGAGACAAGGAGGUGGGCAAUCUGUACGACAUGUUCCACAC